rnacentral:rRNA from 1 species
GAUGAACGCUGGCGGCGUGCCUAAUACAUGCAAGUCGAGCGAACGGACGAGAAGCUUGCUUCUCUGAUGUUAGCGGCGGACGGGUGAGUAACACGUGGAUAACCUACCUAUAAGACUGGGAUAACUUCGGGAAACCGGAGCUAAUACCGGAUAAUAUUUUGAACCGCAUGGUUCAAAAGUGAAAGACGGCCUUGCUGUCACUUAUAGAUGGAUCCGCGCUGCAUUAGCUAGUUGGUAAGGUAACGGCUUACCAAGGCAACGAUGCAUAGCCGACCUGAGAGGGUGAUCGGCCACACUGGAACUGAGACACGGUCCAGACUCCUACGGGAGGCAGCAGUAGGGAAUCUUCCGCAAUGGGCGAAAGCCUGACGGAGCAACGCCGCGUGAGUGAUGAAGGUCUUCGGAUCGUAAAACUCUGUUAUUAGGGAAGAACAUAUGUGUAAGUAACUGUGCACAUCUUGACGGUACCUAAUCAGAAAGCCACGGCUAACUACGUGCCAGCAGCCGCGGUAAUACGUAGGUGGCAAGCGUUAUCCGGAAUUAUUGGGCGUAAAGCGCGCGUAGCGGUUUUUUAAGUCUGAUGUGAAAGCCCACGGCUCAACCGUGGAGGGUCAUUGGAAACUGGAAAACUUGAGUGCAGAAGAGGAAAGUGGAAUUCCAUGUGUAGCGGUGAAAUGCGCAGAGAUAUGGAGGAACACCAGUGGCGAAGGCGACUUUCUGGUCUGUAACUGACGCUGAUGUGCGAAAGCGUGGGGAUCAAACAGGAUUAGAUACCCUGGUAGUCCACGCCGUAAACGAUGAGUGCUAAGUGUUAGGGGGUUUCCGCCCCUUAGUGCUGCAGCUAACGCAUUAAGCACUCCGCCUGGGGAGUACGACCGCAAGGUUGAAACUCAAAGGAAUUGACGGGGACCCGCACAAGCGGUGGAGCAUGUGGUUUAAUUCGAAGCAACGCGAAGAACCUUACCAAAUCUUGACAUCCUUUGACAACUCUAGAGAUAGAGCCUUCCCCUUCGGGGGACAAAGUGACAGGUGGUGCAUGGUUGUCGUCAGCUCGUGUCGUGAGAUGUUGGGUUAAGUCCCGCAACGAGCGCAACCCUUAAGCUUAGCUGCCAUCAUUAAGUUGGGCACUCUAAGUUGACUGCCGGUGACAAACCGGAGGAAGGUGGGGAUGACGUCAAAUCAUCAUGCCCCUUAUGAUUUGGGCUACACACGUGCUACAAUGGACAAUACAAAGGGCAGCGAAACCGCGAGGUCAAGCAAAUCCCAUAAAGUUGUUCUCAGUUCGGAUUGUAGUCUGCAACUCGACUACAUGAAGCUGGAAUCGCUAGUAAUCGUAGAUCAGCAUGCUACGGUGAAUACGUUCCCGGGUCU